rnacentral:lncRNA from 1 species
GAGGGAAAGCCUGUGGAGAGAGAGUGAUUGAAAACACUUGAAAUCAGGUAUAAAUGAUGAAGCAUUUUGACAGAGAUGAUUGGAGUAUAAGUUGGAGAAUAUCCUUGGAAAGAAACAGUUAGGCCUUACCAUUCUUGAGUAAUUCACAAAUGUAUUUGUGAAGGUCUCUCCAGAGGAGAGCUAGUGUCAUACCUCUAAUCUGAGAUUUCUGGUGGAAGUCCUACAUGACUCUGGCCUUUGCUUUGUGCAUGCAUGACAAGAAUGAGUUUGUGUGUCAUGGUAACUUACUCAACGAUGAGAAUUGAUUUCACCAGUCUGCGAGAGAUAAAUGUGGACACCUUCGCAGCAUGGCCUGGUGAGCGGUGUGUAGGUCGGUGCCUGACAUCCAAAGCCAUGAACCCUGGGCCACUGAAGCUGAGCACGCAAACUUAAGCACUAUGACCCGAGGCCAGCCCCUGCCAACAGCCUUUUUUAUGCCAAUCACAUUUUUGUUUAGAUUGCUAUACUCUUAUUGUUCCCUCUUUGUGGAAGAUUCUUCUCCUUGAUCUCUUAUCCUGAAUUCUUUUCAUUUGUAAGGUAUUCCCUCUAGGGUCCCAUUUCUAGAGUCUUUCCUCAGUCAUACUGUAUGAUAUUUCACUACACUCCUCAGUCAACCUCCAUCCUAUUACUAGCUUUAUUCCUUUCAUAAUUCUACUAUAUGAAACUCUUUCCUUCCUUCUUUCCCUCCCUCUCUCUUUUCUUCUGAUUUCCUUACAGCCUUCUUUUCUCUAUGUCUAUCUCUGUCUGUCCGUCUGUCUCUCAUUCACUUUCUCCAACCUCAUUCUUUUAGGUUUAUAUGGUUUUACUUGUUUAUUAUCUCUUUCCCUCUUUCUGAGAGAGUACUUUCAGAAAAAAAGAAACUGCACUGGGUCUUCAGCAGAUAAUUCAAUAUAUAUUUUCACAGUAUUGGAGAACUGGAAAAGCAAAAAGAUGACACUGAAGUAAAAUAGAUAUUGCAACUGCAGGCAUCAGCUACUACCCCUAUUGCUGACAGAGAAAAAUGGAAGAGGCAGAGAGUACAAGAACCUAAGUAUUCACAGGAUGGGUCUGGCAAAGACAGGCUCAAACUUCUGAGAAGCUGCUAACUGACCCUUGGCAGUGCUUCAAGAACUUGGAGAAAUGGGCCCCAUGGAACUGAGACUUAGACUGCUACACAUGGGAUGCUAUCUGGCUUGUGCUAAAGAUGCUGGAGAACAAACCAUAUGCCGCAGCAGAGAGCUAAAAGUUUAAAAACCAACAUAUCUCAUC